UAACUCGUGAGUGGCAAGCGUUGUCCGGAUUUACUGGGCGUAAAGCGCAUGUAGGCGGUCUGGUCAGCGGUGGGUGAAAUUCCGGGGCUCAACCCUGGGGCUGCUCACCGAACUGCCAGACUCUGAGUGCGGGAGAGGGCAGUGGAAUUCCUGGUGUAGCGGUGGAAUGCGUAUAUAUCAGGAGGAACACCGGUGGCGAAGGCUGCUGCCUGGAACGCGACUGACGCUGAGAUGCGAAAGCCAGGGGAGCAAACGGG
rnacentral:rRNA from 1 species